rnacentral:rRNA from 1 species
GACGAACGCUGGCGGCGUGCCUAAUACAUGCAAGUAGAACGCUGAAGGAGGGAGCUUGCUUCUUCUGGAUGAGUUGCGAACGGGUGAGUAACGCGUAGGUAACCUGCCUGAUAGCGGGGGAUAACUAUUGGAAACGAUAGCUAAUACCGCAUAAGAGGUAAUAACACAUGUUAUUAGUUUAAAAGGGGCAAUUGCUCCACUAUCAGAUGGACCUGCGUUGUAUUAGCUAGUUGGUAAGGUAACGGCUUACCAAGGCGACGAUACAUAGCCGACCUGAGAGGGUGAUCGGCCACACUGGGACUGAGACACGGCCCAGACUCCUACGGGAGGCAGCAGUGGGGGAUAUUGCACAAUGGAGGAAACUCUGAUGCAGCAACGCCGCGUGAGGGGAAGAAGGUUUUUCGGGAAUUGUAAACCUCUGUUUUUAGUGAAGAAACAAAUGACGGUAGCUAAAGAGGAAGCCACGGCUAACUACGUG